UGAGUGUCAGUGAGUUUAAAUCCAUUUUGAAGGUCAUUUCUCUUCAAAUCAACAAGGCUUAUACCAGGCACUGGGCUGGGUGCUUGGGACACAAAACACAGCUGCCCUGAAGAAGCUUACAUUUUAUAGGAGAAAAACAAGAAAAUAAAUGUAAGAUACAUCUCCUAUCUCCUCACUUUAGUCUGCAUAAUCCCCCAAAGGACCAGGCUUAUCCUUUUUCUCUAUGCCUCUACAAUGCCUAGGAGAGAGCUCUGCCCAAAUGUUUGAAGCCUUAGAAACAGUGCUGAUUGAGUGAUCCAUCUGUCAAGCAUGUCCCUGUGGAAGAUCCUUCAAGUCAUGGGCAUACAACUGGGACUUCAAGAUCAUCCUGUUUCAGCACCCUCAUUUCACAGGUUCUCUACCUCCACCAUCACCACCACCCCUGAUCCCAAGAGAAAGCAAUCUGACCCAUCUGUUCUUCUAAUCAUGGCACUAGUCUUGGGUUCCAGCAACCCUCAAGCAGGCUGAGUGAGUCACUAGGAACCAAAUACUUCAGAUACCUCUUGGACUAUUUCUGAACUCUCCCAGACUGUGGGAGAAUGGAAGAGAACCACACACUGAAGUCAUCAGGAAGAUCGGAGGAAGACUAAACGGUACAGGAUGUGAUGGGUAGCUGAGAAGCGGGUGGGACCGGAUCCAUUUUAACAGGUUAUUUCCCCUUAUUAAAGGUUCCCAUCAUGGUUAAUCUCCUUCUUCUUUCUGCAAAUCAAGAACUCCUACAGGCCCUGGAAGAUUCCUAGUUCCAUUUCCAGACAUACCCAGACACCCAGAAUAGGUUCAUCCUGUGUGUUGUAAUUUCUUAUAAUAACAUACCAUACCAUAGCCAUCCUAAGCAUUGCCAACCCAUAGCUACCAGCCAAUGGUGAAAACUUUGUGCUCUGCCCUUUACCCCCUGAGCAUCCCUCCUUGCCUUUAGCCCUUCCCUUGGAGACCCAGAUCUUCAGCCUUCUCCCCAAACUUCAUCCCCUCAAGGAUCAGUGCUAGACCUUCCUCCGCAUCCUCAAACUUUGUUGUUUUGUUCAGUCAUUUUUCAGUCACGUUCUACUCUGAGUCAAACAUCGGGUAUUUGCUAUAUGCUUGAAGCCCCAUAACAUGGGUAGUUUUAAUUUAUAAGUAAAGGAUUAAUAAAAGUGUUAACUGUUAGGGAAACA
rnacentral:lncRNA from 1 species